CAAGGCAGAGAGCAUCCAGGCCGCAAAGGUGUUCCGGUGGCAAAAAGACUCUCGCCUACAAGACAGCAGCGAGGAUGAGGAGGACGAAGAGGAAGUGCAGCAGGAGGAAAGCGGCGCGGCGCCUAAAAACACAACAGAGGAAAUGGUUUCAUCCUCAAACAAUUUCUUCUUCUUUCGCAUUGAUGACAGCAGAUUGUCAGAGGGUCCCAAGUGGUUCUGUCGCUCGUCUCAGCUGGAGGAGGAGCGAGAAGAGUGGGAGGAGCGACGGACGGAGCUCAGACAGGAGUACCGCAAGAAACACAAGGAUGCCUGCAGGAAGCUCAAAUCCUCACAAAAGACUUGAACGCUUUCAACUUCACACAAGAUUUUGUUUUUUUGUAAAUAAAAGGAAUAUACAACCUAAUUUCAGAGAAAAGCAAAUAUGAUUUGUCUAAUAAUGCAUAGCUAUUCAUUUCUCUUCUUUUGGCGUUUCUUUUCUCAGCUGUUGUCUUCCAUACCUCAACACAUUUUUUGACAACCACAAUGUGUCUUUGUGCCUUCAAGUAUUUUCAAUGACAUCAGCCAAAUAAAUGAGGAUUUGUAUUUUCCCA